rnacentral:pre_miRNA from 1 species
GAUAUCUCAUUCAUAUAUCAUUUAUUCCAGCAUUCUUGAUUGAAUGCCACAUAUCAUUCAUUCCUGCUUUUUAUAUGAAAAGUCGGAAUGAAUGAUAUGUGGCAUUCAAUCGAGAAUGCUGGAAUAAAUGAUAUCUGAACAAUUGAUC